GCCUAGCCCUGAUGGGAACGGCAUCCUUUUAUGUCCGCUGCGGCGGACGCAAAAGAUAUAGUGAACAGCAGGAUCAGCU
rnacentral:sRNA from 1 species